rnacentral:rRNA from 1 species
GUCCACACCGUAAACGCUGUCUACUAGCUGUUUGUGGAUUUAAUCCGUGAGUAGCGAAGCUAACGCGCUAAGUAGACCGCCUGGGGAGUACGGCCGCAAGGUUAAAACUCAAAUGAAUUGACGGGGGCCCGCACAAGCGGUGGAGCAUGUGGUUUAAUUCGAUGCAACGCGAAGAACCUUACCUACACUUGACAUGCAGAGAACUUUCCAGAGAUGGAUUGGUGCCUUCGGGAACUCUGACACAGGUGCUGCAUGGCU